AUUAAAUAAAAAGUACAAACGUAAUUUUGGUGAAACUAAUUACCUACUUGAGUGUUUCUAAUUAUUUUUGUAAAUUAAAUGUUUGAGGUGUUAUAUUAUGUGUAAAAGUAAUAUUAAUAUUAAAUUAUCAAACGAAUUAUGUAUUUAAUUUUUUUAGAUUUAGUUAAUAAUUACUGCACCUACUACAACUGAAGCAAUAAUAGUAGGCAAGGUUAGUGUUACGGCAAAUGAGGGGUCACGAUCCCCGAAAAAUAUCCUCUCACCUACCCGUACUACUGGAACUAUGAGAACAUGAAAACGAGGCAUGUAAUAAUAGACGCCGUUUUGCGAACGAGUGCACCUGCAAUAACGACAGAACGAAAACGCAAUUAUCGCACAAUAACUAUGGAGCUUGAACAUAAACCUGCGGCGAGAACUGAAAAGUUGAUAUAGCGACUACCGACAAAGGAGGAUCUUCUGCUACGAGUGCAAUCAACGAAUAUUUCGUUCGUUCAGGUGCCUAUCCUAUUGUGUCCGGUGCAUUUGGUUGAUGAUUAUUUAUAAUGUGCACUGUUGUACGGCGUACGAUGACGAUUGUUAUAAUAUUAUAUUCUCGGACACAUUCACCAAUCUCCACGCAAUUUAUUUAACUCGAUUUUUUUAUACACGAUUUUUUUUUUCACAACGUCGAUAAUAGAAUGUCUCCUGAAAUCAUUCUCCACCCAUCGUGUCUUAAUAAUACAUCAAUGAUCUUAAAGUAGAUACCUAUGUUGUAAAUUUAAAUGUGUGUUUCAGUGUUUGAAUACAUCACGAAUCGCAUAAUAAUAAUAUUCCAACUUUAUAAUAAUAAUAAUUAUUAUUGUAAUUUUAAUCUUCUACAUGCGUAUCAUGAUAAAUUAAUAGAUUAUAAUUUAUUAUAUAAAGGUGAACGAAUAACACUUAUAUGUGUAUUGUAUUUGAACCAAAUUUCUACACAUAUUAUUAGAGAUUCGGGGAGUGUUUUUAAAUUUAUUUUUCAACCCCAGCAUUGGUAGCUUACACAUAAAAUACGUUUUGGUUCACGAGAAUUUAAUUUUUUUACUUAUACAUUGAGUGGGGGUCAUUGGUUACAGAAAAUAAAAUAAUUGUCAUGUGACCAAUGGUGAUCAGAAAUAAACUAACAAAAUAAAAAAAGGAAACUUUUAUACAAUUAUAAUAAUAUAUAGAUUAUAUUAUAGAAAAGUAAAUAUAUAUUUAAAAGAUACCAAGCAAGCUUAGAGUAUAGCAUGAGUCACACUAGAAAACAUACCGAGUGUUGUAUCCAAAUUCAAUCCGACACAGGUAGAUCGCCCAUCGAAUUAGUAAAUAAGUUCACAGAGCGAGUUACGUCGAUGCCCAUUUACCGAUGAACUGAAGUUACUAUAUUAAAACCGAGAUACACCUAUAUAGUAACUACCAUUAUUUUUAGAGGAAAAUUGACACAUUUACUUAGAUAUGAAAAAAAUUUUGGGGAGGUGUUUUUGAAAAUCAGAAAUUGAAACGUAGAACAUUUUUUUUUAAAUUCUUUUGUACCCAUCAUCACGUCAAUACACAAUAGUUAAAAUUUUAUUUUAUUUAUAAAUCUUGUUUAAAUAUUUUUAUUUUUAUUCAAAUUAUAUUAAUUAUUUUAAUUUUUUAAAAAAAUUUUUAUACUAAAUAGGCAAAGGUAUGUUAAGUAACGAACUAUUCUGAUAACAAAAUUAUAAUUAUUAUUGUACAAAUCUACUGAAUUAUGAAUGUACGUAACACACUAAUACCACUGUAGACAUAUUAUUAUAUUAUUGUGACGAUAGAAAAGAAAAAGAGAAAUGUAGGUCGAGCCGGUCAUAUGACGCGGUAUCAAAAUAGGCAGCCGCCUAGGGUCGAAUGUUCCUUGUUUAAAAAGGCCGAAAAACUUUUCUUAAAAUUAUAUUGCACUACUGUCAUAUUAUAAUAUCUAUUUAAAAAUUCUAAUGCCUCGUGGACUAUAGAAUACACAGGAUACUAUAAGAUAUUGAAAGAUUUUUGUAAAGCCUACGAAUUAUUGUGAUUAUAUUAUGUAUAUAUUUACACGAUUUUUCUUCAUGGCUAAAAUAUUAUAUAAUUUAUAAACAAAGUUUAGGUUAAGUAUAGGAAAAGUCAAUAGAAUUUAAGAAUGUUUAGGGUAGUAACAUAAUGUUACUGAGUUAGUUCUAAAUGUUCUAAUAUUUAUCAUUUGAAAACAAGUUUCUAUGUAAGUCAUUGUAGUUGUGCACUUAUAUAUAUGUGCAAUGUUAUUAUAUUUUGUAACUACCUACUGUUUUAUUUGUUUAGCUAAUUUUUAUCGUAAUACUAUAAUACACAUUGAACUUCACCUACUUAUUUUAUUUUAUUACAAGCCGACAAGAUACAUUUUAUAAUAUAUGACACAUAUUUAGAAAUACAACCAUUGCUUCUGUUAGUAGGAUACAUGUCUUAGCAUUUAAUAUACCUAUGCAUAUUAUCAUUAUAAUAUUAAUAAGAAUUUUAAUAUUUUUCCUGCCAAACUUUGACUAUAGCAGAAUUUAAAAUACUCUACUCUACUCAAAAUCAUAAAUAUAUUGAUUUUAUUCUUAUGACAAAUCAAAACCAAUACAUAUUAUAUUGUGAACGUGCUAUUCUAAUAUCAUAAUACUCGUGAACUUGAUUCAAUUAAAUAAUGGAGGUAAAUAUUAUAAUAUAUCGCAUAUGCCUCCUUACAUGUACUCGUUAAAUAAACCCUCAAGGUAUAUAGUUAACAUAAAGUCGGCUAACCUACCAGACUUUUGUAUAAAAUUAUUACGCAGUAGGCACAAUGCACGUAUAUUUACUAAGCUCAUAGAAAUUGU